CAAUUAAAUGACGUUAUCCCGUUACUGCGCCGUUCUAGUGUGCCCCCUCGUAAUCGAACCAUUUUACAUUACGUCACGAUGCAUGCGACGUGAAACUGUUG